rnacentral:lncRNA from 1 species
UCGAUUCCAUAAUCCCGUUCCAUGACAAGAUUAAUUCCUUCAUCGGAAUACCACCCGACACCAAUACACAAGAUCCCGUCUUUUUUAACAUCAACGUAACCCGUGACACCUCCCGGCAACCAAAGCAUUGUGACAUCCACCAUGUCUAACACUUCUUCCUCGCCAAAGUAGACCGCACUCUCAGGCAAGUUUCUUUUCUUUAAUGUUUCUGUACAAAGGUAGACGUACGGUGGGUCGUCGUUUUCUUCUCUAAUUGUUUCGUCUUCAUAAACUGGUGUCGCACUUGUCUCAAAUACCUUCCAGAAUCCCGUUAAUUCCGAGGGUUGAACUCUUUUUCGUUGAGAAAAUGGUUUCACGUCAAACAACCCUCAAGAUCUGGAUAUCCGAACCCCCAUCACUGAACUCUAUGGUAUGAACGAUGCGUAGUCUCUUGUGGCAACCUUUAAC